CCGCCAUCUGGGAUCUUUUUCUGCCAGGUACAGUGCUGGAAGCGGGGAUACAGGGACAAAUAAGACACAGAUCCUGUUCCUAAAGAGAGUCUUUUCUAAGGCACCAACUACUUCCUUCAAGCAGCAGCCAGAGAUCUUUGCUUAAUGGCUGAGAAACACAGAGGAGAGACCCAGAGAGAAGGAGAAGGCCGCAUGAAGAUGGAGCAGAGACUGGAGUUAUUCAGCCAAGUCAAGGAAUGCCUGGAGCACCAGAAGCCGGAAGAGGCAAGGAAGGAUCCUCCCUUAGAGCAUUUGGAAGAGUGUGGCCCUGCCAACACCUUGACUUCAAACUUCUGGCCUCCAUAACUAUGAAAU
rnacentral:lncRNA from 1 species